UAAGGAAUAUUCCCCAAUGGGCGAAAGCCUGAGGGAGCGACGCCGCGUGCGGGAGGAAGCCUUUCGGGGUGUAAACCGCUUUUUGGGGGGAUGACACUCCGGGUGUGAAAGCACCUGGAUACGACAGUACCCCCAGAAUAAGCCUCGGCUAACUACGUGCCAGCAGCCGCGGUAAUACGUAGGAGGCGAGCGUUGUCCGGAUUUACUGGGCGUAAAGAGCGCGCAGGCGGCACUACAAGUACGCAGUGAAAUCUACCUGCUCAACGGGUAGGGUGCUGAGUAGACUGUAGAGCUAGAGGUGGGCAGAGGGUGGUGGAAUUGCUGGUGUAGCGGUGAAAUGCGUAGAGAUCAGCAGGAACACCCGUGGCGAAGGCGGCCACCUGGACCCAACCUGACGCUGAGGCGCGAAGGCUAGGGGAGCGAACGGGAUUAGAUACCCCGGUAGUCCUAGCAGUAAACGAUGUCCACUAGGUGUGGGGGGUUGUUGACCCCUUCCGUGCCGAAGCCAACGCAUUAAGUGGACCGCCUGGGGA
rnacentral:rRNA from 1 species